rnacentral:lncRNA from 1 species
GAAAAAGAUAGCAGUUGAAGCUCAAAUCUUUCCUGAACAUUUCUCUUUUGAAGAAUCGACUUUUAAAAACGAUAUGCUGAUUUGGAAGGCCCCAGGAGUGAUUUGCAAAAUUUAUUUUUUCCAUUCAAUCUAUGGAUUUUUUAACCAUUCCUUGGAGUAGAGGAAAUUCAGAGGAGACCUGUGAUGGGAAAAGCGGCAUGCCGGUGUUUUUGUAGCCCCUGUAUCUUGGAUUAAUUUGUUGUUUUACCGAAGAGAUUCCAUUUUGAAAGGCAGGGACUGAAUGUGAUGGAUUUAUCUUCAGAGAUGAACAGACAUGGGAAGAAUCCAGUAAGUCACAAGCUAGAAGACCAGAAGAAGGCACACAGAAAUACUGAAAUGAAUAAGAUAGAGCCUUUGCUUUCUCUGAAAAACUGUUGGAAUCAUCAAUUGCAAAGUUGAAAAUUACAUAAAAUACAGUUGCCAUUUCUUCUUGAAAGGAUCAUGCAAAGUGUUAUGGAACUCAACAUUAAUCUCUAAAGGACAAUUUCUCUAGAAUGCCUUUCUUGUGAUGAACAAAUGAUUUUUUUGUUCUUUAUUUUUGUCAUCUUGUCCCAAUUCUUUUUUUGAAAAGUUCUCUUCUGACACUGACAUGAGAAAACCCUCUUAAUUUUGUACCUUUAAUUUUGCCUUGAUUAUGAGGAGAAGGGGCAAAGAAUUCAGAGAUAAGUAUUACUUCAAGUUCUAUAUUCUCCUAUAAAUCACAUAUUCUUUGUAAUCUGAAAAUCAGGAUGAAGCAAUCAAAAGACAUUCAUUAAGCAACCACAAUGUCAAACAAAAAAAUGAGACACUUCUUGCCCCUAGGGAGCUUGAGUGCUUCUAUAAUUCAAGUACCUGAAAAUGCUGUGAUAAAAGAACUAAAUAAUUGGAAAUGGAAUAUAAUGUUGUAUAACUAAUUUUUUAUGUCAGCAUGAACAACCCUGCCCUCCCUUGAAUUUGUGAUAAAUUAAGGAGAUGCCUAAUAUGCUUGAG